UGAGGGAAUAUUGGGUCAAUGGGCGAGAGCCUGAACCAGCCAAGUCGCGUGAAGGAUGAAGGUUCUAUGGAUUGUAAACUUCUUUUAUUCGAGGGUAAAGUGAGGUACGUGUACCUUAUUGCAAGUAUCGAAUGAAUAAGCAUCGGCUAACUCCGUGCCAGCAGCCGCGGUAAUACGGAGGAUGCGAGCGUUAUCCGGAUUUAUUGGGUUUAAAGGGUGCGUAGGCGGAUUAUUAAGUCAGCGGUGAAAGCGUGUGGCUCAACCAUACAGUUGCCGUUGAUACUGGUAGUCUUGAGUGUAAACGAGGUAGGCGGAAUGUGUGGUGUAGCGGUGAAAUGCAUAGAUAUCACACAGAACACCGAUUGCGAAGGCAUCUCACGAAUCCGCAAUUGACGCUGAGGCACGAAAGUGUGGGGA
rnacentral:rRNA from 1 species